UGCCAGCAGCCGCGGUAAUACGGAGGGUGCGAGCGUUAAUCGGAAUUACUGGGCGUAAAGCGCGUGUAGGCGGCCUGGUAAGUCUGAGGUGAAAUCCAUGGGCCUAACCCGUGAACUGCCUUGGAAACUGCCAAGCUUGAGGAGCAGAGGGGAAAGUGGAAUUUCGGGUGUAGCGGUGAAAUGCUUAGAUAUCCGAGAGAACACCGAUGGCGAAGGCAGCUUUCUGGCUGUUUCCUGACGCUGAGACGCGAAAGCUAGGGUAGCGAACGGGAUUAGAUA
rnacentral:rRNA from 1 species